AAAUGAAUAGACGGGGACCCGCACAAGCGGUGGAACAUGUGGUUUAAUUCGUAGCUAAGCGAAAGACCUCACCGAGGCUUGACAUCCUGGGAAUCUGCUAGAAACAGCAGAGUGCCUUCGGGAACCCAGUGACAGGUGUUGCAUGGCUGUCGUCAGCUCGUGUCGUGAGAUGUUGGGUUAAGUCCUUCAACGAGCGCAACCCUCAUUGUAUGUUAAUUUACAUGCGAAACUGCCCUGGUUAACGGGGAGGAAGGUGGGGAUGACGUCAAGUCAGCAUGGCCCUUACGCCUCGGGCCACACACGUGUUACAAUGGCCAGAACAAUGAGUCGCAAUACCGCGAGGUGGAGCUAAUCUCCAAAUCUGGCCCCAGUUCGGAUUGCAGGCUGAAACUCGCCUGCAUGAAGUUGGAAUCGCUAGUAAACGCAAAUCAGCACGUUGCGUUGAAUACGUUCUCGGGUCUUGCACACACCGCCCGU
rnacentral:rRNA from 1 species